GGAGAACACAGCAAUUGUGAGGCAUUGAACUCAGUGCUGUUCUGUUAGAGCAGAAAGGAAAACCAGACCAAACUCAGCUGAUGCCUGCUCACAGAGGGAGCUUUCAAACCAGCCCUAGCCAGAGGGGAAUUGCAGAUCCCAGUGGUCCAAACUUGAGUGCCUACAAACCUCACCACCGAGGGCUACAGCACGCUGUAUCACCAAGUAAACUUGAAAGGCAGUCUAGGCCAAAAGGACUGCAACUAUUAGGUGAGUCCCAGUGCUGAACUAGGUCCAGAGACAGUGGACUGAGGGGACACGUGACAUACUGAGACACCAGCUGGGGAAGCCAAGGGAAUGCUGGCAUCACCCCUCCUCUAAACCAGGCUGCAUAGCUCAAGGCUCCAAAAGAAACCCCUUUCUUCUGCUUGAGGAGAGAAGAGGGAAGAAUGAGAAAGAUUUUGUCUUGCAUCUAGGAUACCAGCUCAGCCACAGCAGGAUAGGGCACUGGACAGAAUCAUGAAGUCCCUGUUCCAGGCCCUAGCAAACAGACAUUUCUAGACACAUCCUGGCCAGAACCCACUGCCUUGAAGGAAAAGACCCAGUGCUGGCAGCACUCAUCAUCUGAUAACUGAAGAGCCCUCGGGCCCUGAAUAACCAGCAGCAAUACCCAGGUGCUACAUCGAGGGCUCGGGUGAUCCUCUGAGACUUGAUGGCUUCAGAUGGAAUUCUGCUCCUGGAACCAGCCACCAUGCUAUGCAGAGCUGAAUCCAUGUAGAAAGCUAGCAAGAGGAUUCAAGGAGCCCUGGCUGACAGCUGAGCUGAGCUCUGUCCUGUAGCCAGCACUGACAGCCAGCUAUGUAAUUGAGCCAUCAUAGACAUUACCGUCUCAUUGUGCCUUCGGAAGAUGACAGCCCCAGUCAAUACCACACAGAGCGGAAGAACUACCCAGCUGAGACCAGUCCUACACCGAAUUGUGAAAGAUGAUAAAUGGUCAUUGUUCUCAGCUAUUACAUUUUCAGAGUCAUUUGUUAUACAGGGAUAAAUAACCAAAUCACCCUCCAUUUCUAUUCAGCUUUUAGCUUCAAUCUAGACCCUCAGUAUCCUCAGUUUUUGGAAGUAUACUCGCAAGCAUUUGGCACAUAAUAAAGGCUCAGUG
rnacentral:lncRNA from 10 species